rnacentral:rRNA from 1 species
UACGAAGGGGGCUAGCGUUGCUCGGAAUCACUGGGCGUAAAGGGUGCGUAGGCGGGGCUUUAAGUCAGGGGUGAAAUCCUGGAGCUCAACUCCAGAACUGCCUUUGAUACUGAAGAUCUUGAGUUCGGGAGAGGUGAGUGGAACUGCGAGUGUAGAGGUGAAAUUCGUAGAUAUUCGCAAGAACACCAGUGGCGAAGGCGGCUCACUGGCCCGAUACUGACGCUGAGGCACGAAAGCUAGGGGAGCAAACGGG